rnacentral:rRNA from 1 species
UACAGAGGUCCCAAGCGUUGUUCGGAUUCACUGGGCGUAAAGGGUGCGUAGGUGGCCGGGUAAGUCUGACGUGAAAUCUCCGAGCCUAACUCGGAAACUGCAUCGGAUACUAUCCGGCUUGAGGAUUGGAGGGGGGACUGGAAUACUUGGUGUAGCAGUGAAGUGCGUAGAUAUCAAGUGGAACACCAGUGGCGAAGGCGAGUCCCUGGACAAUUCCUGACACUGAGGCACGAAAGCUAGGGGAGCAAACAGG